AGAAUUGAUCUGGUUCAGGACGAACGCUGGCGGCGUGCCUAAUACAUGCAAGUCGAACGGUAACAGGAAGCAGCUUGCUGCUUUGCUGACGAGUGGCGGACGGGUGAGUAAUGUCUGGGAAACUGCCCGAUGGAGGGGGAUAACUACUGGAAACGGUAGCUAAUACCGCAUAAUGUCGCAAGACCAAAGAGGGGGACCUUCGGGCCUCUUGCCAUCGGAUGUGCCCAGAUGGGAUUAGCUAGUUGGUGAGGUAACGGCUCACCAAGGCGACGAUCCCUAGCUGGUCUGAGAGGAUGACCAGCCACACUGGAACUGAGACACGGUCCAGACUCCUACGGGAGGCAGCAGUGGGGAAUAUUGCACAAUGGGCGCAAGCCUGAUGCAGCCAAUGCCGCGUGUAUGAAGAAGGCCUUCGGGUUGUAAAGUACUUUCAGCGGGGAGGAAGGGGUUAAGGUUAAUAACCUUAGCCAUUGACGUUACCCGCAGAAGAAGCACCGGCUAACUCCGUGCCAGCCGCCGC
rnacentral:rRNA from 1 species